rnacentral:rRNA from 1 species
AUUGAACGCUGGCGGCAUGCUUUACACAUGCAAGUCGAACGGCAGCGGGGAGGAGCUUGCUUCUCUGCCGGCGAGUGGCGAACGGGUGAGUAAUACAUCGGAACGUGUCGAGCAGAGGGGGAUAACCACCCGAAAGGGUGGCUAAUACCGCAUAAAUUCUGAGGAAGAAAGCUGGGGACCUGGGAAUAGGCCUAGCGCUUUUUGAGCGGCCGAUGUCGGAUUAGCCAGUUGGUGAGGUAAAGGCUCACCAAGGCGAAGAUCUGUAGCGGGUCUGAGAGGAUGAUCCGCCACACUGGGACUGAGACACGGCCCAGACUCCUACGGGAGGCAGCAGUGGGGAAUUUUGGACAAUGGGGGCAACCCUGAGCCAGCCAUGCCGCGUGUAUGAAGAAGGCCUUAGGGUUGUAAAGUACUUUUGUUAGGGAAGAAAAGUCAGCUGUGAAUAAUGGCUGAUACUGGCGGUACCUAAAGAAUAAGCACCGGCUAACUACGUG